AAAAAAUGAGAAUAGCACAGAAGCAGAAAAUAAGAGGUUCUGUUGGAAGGUCAUGGACUAGAACCCAAGGAAGAUGGAGGUAAUGGAGGGAGAGGAGGGAAUGAACUGAAUGUGUCAUACACUAAUGUUAAAUGGAGUUAAAUGACUAUCUUAUGGAUGUAAAGGUGUAGUGCUGAGAAAUUAAUUAUGUAUAUUUCUACUUUUCUUCCUAGGCUAGGGCCCAUGUAGUGUGCGGGGAUGACCAGAAUCUCAGUACCAUGUGACUAACCCCUCCCCUUCCCCUCCUCUCCUCAGUGUCCUUUUGUCCUUGCUUUUCCCCCCCCCCCCCUCUCAGCGUCACUGUGUUGACCACUUCUAUAACAAAUUUACCCCGUGAAUAAACGUAAUUUCUCCUGCUUGGCCAGGUUAUAGAGGCGAAUUUUUCACCUAAUCCCAGAGAAUGGGGAGCCCUUAAUAUGAUAAAAUUAAUUCUAUAAUGGUAAGGUCUUAAACCAGCCCAAACAAAUCCCAGAUAAUUACGCCGCGCCAAUGAGGUUGACGAAUCUGAUAAGUCUUCUUUGCUUCGCUGCCCUGUCACCCCUGUUGCUACGUAAGCCGGGAAGAGAUACCAGACUUUGACUAAUUCCCCAAUUGAUUUCAAAAGUCCAUUGAAUUAAACUUCUUAAAGUAACAACUAUAAAGUAAACAGUAACUUAAUUAUUCAUAUUUUUCAUCCCUGAACUCACAACCUAGUCGCCCCCCCCCUCCUAAAAACAAAAUUAUAACUUAAUAAAUUUCCCCAUUGGAAACCUUUAUCCUUAGUUUCCCGCCGAUUUCCUCACAAGCAAAGCCAGUCUCUCUCGGAUUCUCCUCAGGUGAGCAUGCGGUCUGAUAAUCUCCUCCUCCAUUUCUUGUAAUAUUAAGUAAGUGUUUAUUUAACAAUAAUUUACUAAAGCCAGUCUCUCUCGGAUUCUCCUCAGACCCUCUCGGAUUCUCCUCAGAUAUUCCUGUUGAUAAACUGUUUCUGAGUGGAUAGAUAUUCGCAUUUUUUCGUUCUUUUUUUGUUGGUUUUCUCCACGGGACUAGUGAAACCACCUGGUUCGAGAUCACCGUGUGAGACUGUCCUCAGGUAUAUACAUUCUUUUUGGAUAUAUAUUUGUUAUUUAUUUAUUUAUUCUCUGGUCUCCCCCACAACUCAGUAGUCGCGAAAAUAUCUCCAUCGUAGUUUUUAUGUAAUUGAAGAAUACGCUACCAUUUAUUUUGUAUUUCUGAAUUAUGUAACUGAAGAGUAAGCUAUCAUUUAUUUUUGUAUUUCUGAAUUAUGUAACUGAAGAGUACGCUACCAUUUAUUUUGUAUUUCUGAAUUGCUUUCUUUUUAUUAUUAUUAUUUCGGAUUAUUCCAUUAUUUAUUAAAAAUCAUAAAAGUGUCAGUAUUUGUAUUUCUCUUAAUCCAGUGAUAGGAUUUGUAAUUAUCGUCUGCCACAAGGGAACAUCACACCCCUUAGAGGGCACUAAACUGGUGAGCAGCGGUGGCAUUUAUUUCGCGACUGACCGAAAGAGGUGGAGACUGGAAAUAAUUGUAAAUGUUGAAGGUGAUGAUGAGGCCAAGCGAGACAUUCAAAGGAGGGCGUGCACGUGCAUGGUGGUGAGCAGGUGAUGAUUGGCGAGGCACAGAACGUUCAGGAUGGAGGAGGAGGAGGAGCAGGAUCUUUGUGUAUAGGAAGGAGAAAGAAGGAGGAUAGGAGUAAUAAGUAAUAAUGCAAGGAGAAUGGAGGAGGAGGAGGAGCAGGAGUCUUUGUGUAUAGGAAGGAGAAAGAAGGAGGAUAGGAGUAAUAAGUAAUAAUGCAAGGAGAAAGGAGGUGGAGGAGGAGUAAUGAAUAACAAUGAUUAAGAGGAAAACCAGAGGAGGAGAAAUAGUAAUGAACUAUAAUUUUUUCUUGAGUAAUGACAAAACAUGCACAUGAGCUUUCUGGCCACCUGGGUCAGAAAAAGACAAUUAAAAAGGCCGAAGAAUUGUUUUACUGGUGUAAUCUCAAGUUUGACGUAACCCAGUACGUAAAGAAUUACCUUCAGUAGAGAAGCCCUUAGAUAGGAUAGGUAUAGACCUGACGGAUAUGAUUGCAGGCAGUGGUGGCUACCGAUAUGUGUUGACUAUUGUAGAUCACUUUAGCCGAUUUGUGAAGUUCUAUCCACUCAAAAACAAACUAUCAGAGGGAAUUGUAGAGGCGCUGCAGCAGUACAUUACCGACUUCGGGACUCCUCACUCCAUCGUCCUGGACAACGGGGGCGAGUUCACCUCCCAGAUCUUCCAACAAUUCUGCCAGCAACACCUCAUCACCCUCUGUUACACCACUCCCUACCACCCGCAAGGGAACGCCAUCACCGAAUGACUCCAUCGCACGCUCAAAUCCAUCUUGGCUUCCAUGUGCCGAGGUUACCCGCUACGGUGGCCUCGCCUACUCCCUGUGUGUCAGGCCACUAUGAAUGCCGCCGUCCAUACCAGUAUCGCCCAACAACCUUUCUUCGCGUUUUUCUCCCGGCAUGCGCCCCGAGUGGUGGGUGCCAGGCUACCCGCAGUUGAUGGUGACGAGCAAGACGUGGAUGUGGUCCGCCGGCUGAUCCGGGAAACACACGAGAAAGUGACUCGGAAAUACCGUAAUGCGGCCAACAGGAAACGCAAGGAGCAGAAGGUAGACAUUGGGGCGUUGGUGUGGGUGAAGCGAGAAACUACAGAGUCAGGAGUGUGUAAGAAACUGUGUGUUCGUUGGGACGGCCCAUAUAAGGUGGUGGAAGUUUUAAGAGGAGGCGGUGGUUAUGUGGUGAAAGACCCUUUCUCGGGAAAGAUGGUGCAAAGAGCGGCAGAAAAGAUCAAACAGUUUCACAGUGAGGAAGAGUACGUAGUUGCAGCUCAAGACACAGUGUUCCAACCUGAUAUAGAAACUGAAGUGUUACCGCCUAGAGUGCGUAACCGUCCCAGACGCUAUAUUGAGGAAUGUUAAUGUCGCUGGAAAAACGGUAUAGAAAAGAGCAGAGUGCUUGGGGUAAAUAGAGUCUCCCCCCUUACUUUUGCAUGGUCUGGCUGGACUGGUUGUAAUGAAUCGUGGUAUGACGGGUAUGGGUACUAUGUGAGAGGUGAUGUAAGAAUUUGAGAAGGAAUAAGGAACCACUUUAAUUCGCAGACUACUACUGCACUCGACAAUCCGUUCGGGCCAUUCUGUGGUGGAUUACUUCAGGACGUGGCGAGCGCUUCGCGUAAUCAUCUAUAGUAUCUCGUGGUAUGAGUGAAUGUGUGGAUGAGUAAAUGACUGUCCGAGUGGAAGGAACCGAGUACUGGGGUGGCCGAAUCUCGUUUCAGAGAGUGACGGAGUGACUUAAGGUUAAGUCCUCACACCACAGGAGGUCAAGAGGCUGGUUGGGGUGGAAUUUCUUUUCUUUUUCCUUGAGAUGAGAGAAAGAGCCGAGUUAUGUCUCCAAGGGACAUUGUGGUGAUAUGGCCCACAAGCCAUUGUAUGGGAGAGAAUGUCAGAGUUAUUUCCCGACAGAGAUCACGUGCAGUUCGUCAGCCUGGCUUGGUUAUGUGGUGGUGAGGGGAGUUUCUAAUUACUCGGAUGUGAAGGUGUUAUUUUAUUUUUUUUGGUAAGGAGAAAAGAGAGAGGUGAAAAAUUCUAGAACGGAUGAAAGGCUCAUGUAGUGCUGAGAAAUUAAUUAUGUAUAUUUCUACUUUUCUUCCUAGGCUAGGGCCCAUGUAGUGUGCGGGGGUGACCAGAAUCUCAGUACCAUGUGACUAACCCCUCCCCUUCCCCUCCUCUCCUCAGUGUCCUUUUGUCCUUGCUUUUCCCCCCCCCCCUCUCAGCGUCACUGUGUUGACCACUUCUAUAACAAAUUUACCCCGUGAAUAAACGUAAUUUCUCCUGCUUGGCCAGGUUAUAGAGGCGAAUUUUUCACCUAAUCCCAGAGAAUGGGGAGCCCUUAAUAUGAUAAAAUUAAUUCUAUAAUGGUAAGGUCUUAAACCAGCCCAAACAAAUCCCAGAUAAUUACGCCGCGCCAAUGAGGUUGACGAAUCUGAUAAGUCUUCUUUGCUUCGCUGCCCUGUCACCCCUGUUGCUACGUAAGCCGGGAAGAGAUACCAGACUUUGACUAAUUCCCCAAUUGAUUUCAAAAGUCCAUUGAAUUAAACUUCUUAAAGUAACAACUAUAAAGUAAACAGUAACUUAAUUAUUCAUAUUUUUCAUCCCUGAACUCACAACCUAGUCGCCCCCCCCCUACUAAAAACAAAAUUAUAACUUAAUAAAUUUCCCCAUUGGAAACCUUUAUCCUUAGUUUCCCGCCGAUUUCCUCACAAGCAAAGCCAGUCUCUCUCGGAUUCUCCUCAGACCCUCUCGGAUUCUCCUCAGAUAUUCCUGUUGAUAAACUGUUUCUGAGUGGAUAGAUAUUCGCAUUUUUUCGUUCUUUUUUUGUUGGUUUUCUCCACGGGACUAGUGAAACCACCUGGUUCGAGAUCACCGUGUGAGACUGUCCUCAGGUAUAUACAUUCUUUUUGGAUAUAUAUUUGUUAUUUAUUUAUUUAUUCUCUGGUCUCCCCCACAACUCAGUAGUCGCGAAAAUAUCUCCAUUGUAGUUUUUAUGUAAUUGAAGAAUACGCUACCAUUUAUUUUGUAUUUCUGAAUUAUGUAACUGAAGAGUAAGCUAUCAUUUAUUUUUGUAUUUCUGAAUUAUGUAACUGAAGAGUACGCUACCAUUUAUUUUGUAUUUCUGAAUUGCUUUCUUUUUAUUAUUAUUAUUUCGGAUUAUUCCAUUAUUUAUUAAAAAUCAUAAAAGUGUCA